CCUACGGGAGGCAGCAGUGGGGAAUAUUGGGCAAUGGGGGAAACCCUGAACCAGCAACGCCGCGUGAAGGAAGAAGGCUCUCGGGUUGGAAACUUCUUUUACUAGGGACGAAGAAAGUGACGGGACCUGGCGAAAAAGCUUCGGCUAACUACGUGCCAGCAGCCGCGGUAAUACGUAGGGCGCGAGCGUUGUGCGGAUUUACUGGGUGUAAAGGGCGCGUAGGCGGAGCUGCAAGUCAGAAGUGAAAUCUCCGGGCUCAACCCGGGAACUGGUUCUGAAACUGUAGCCCUUGAGUAUCGGAGAGGCAGGCGGAAUGCCUGGUGUAGCGGUGAAAUGCGUAGAUAUUAGGCGGAACACCAGUGGCGAAGGCAGCCUGCUGGACGACAACUGACGCUGAGGCGCGAAAGCGUGGGGAGCAAACAGGAUUAGAUACCCGUGUAGUC
rnacentral:rRNA from 1 species